CAUAGACUAGCUCUAAUAAAUACAAGGCCUAAGCCCAAACAUUGAAAACCCUAGCUAGAUAUAGGCAAGCAAGGUAGAGGAAAGCCAACGCACCCAAGCCGCAACUCUUACCGUCGUUUGGACAAGCAAAAAACAAAACCCCUGAACAUGUGAAACAAGCGGCAAAAAAUCAGGAGCAUUUGAAUCUAAGAUCUGUAACCUCAUGCCACCAGAACAGCAAAGGGUCUCAGAAGCAUGCACAAAAGCACAUCAACGAUCUCAAUGAGUGGUGGAAGGAUGGAAGGCUAGAGCCCUAUAGGCUAUCUUUGCCUUAAAGGGUCGCAGAUGAGCAGAUGGUAGGCUUUUUGACCCCCGGGAUACCCUUCCUCAUGGCAAAUCUGCAUCCUUCCAUCGGGCUAAUCACAAGAAAACUUCACACAAGUCAUGAUGCAAGAGCUCCGCCAAGAAGUAAGAACAACAACACAUGUAGAUAAAGAAAGAAAACCCUCUCCAUAAACCCAGACUUGCCAAAAAUAAGCCAAAUCAAAACCCAUUUACAUUCCACCCAGUGGUGGGGAGGGUGAACCCACAACUGGGUGAGGGAGGAGCUGCCCCCCUUCCUAGCAGGGGCAGGGAUCAUCAUUUU
rnacentral:misc_RNA from 1 species